rnacentral:rRNA from 1 species
CCUACGGGAGGCAGCAGUGGGGAAUAUUGGGCAAUGGGCGCAAGCCUGACCCAGCAACGCCGCGUGAAGGAAGAAGGCUUUCGGGUUGUAAACUUCUUUUCUCAGGGACGAAGCAAGUGACGGUACCUGAGGAAUAAGCCACGGCUAACUACGUGCCAGCAGCCGCGGUAAUACGUAGGUGGCAAGCGUUAUUAGGAUUUACUGGGUGUAAAGGGCGCGUAGGCGGGAGAGCAAGUCAGAUGUGAAAACCAUGGGCUCAACCUGUGGCCUGCAUUUGAAACUGUUUUGCUUGAGUACUGUGGAGGCAGACGGAAUUCCUAGUGUAGCGGUGAAAUGCGGAGAUAUUAGGAGGAACACCAGUGGCGAAGGCGGUCUGCUAGACAGCAACUGACGCUGAGGCGCGAAAGCGUGGGGAGCAAACAGGAUUAGAUACCCGGGUAGUC